UACGUAGGGUGCGAGCGUUAAUCGGAAUUACUGGGCGUAAAGCGUGCGCAGGCGGUUUUGUAAGCCAGACGUGAAAUCCCCGGGCUUAACCUGGGAAUGGCAUUUGGGACUGCAAGGCUAGAGUCCUGGAGAGGAAGGUGGAAUGCUUGGUGUAGAGGUGAAAUUCGUAGAUAUCAAGCGGAACACCGGUGGCGAAGGCGGCCUUCUGGACAGUGACUGACGCUGAGACGCGAAAGCGUGGGGAGCAAACAGG
rnacentral:rRNA from 1 species